rnacentral:lncRNA from 11 species
GCUUCAUGUGAGGAGCGAGUGGGCGGUUCUUGUUCCUGCAAUCAUCCAUGUUUCCCAACAGGAGAGAGACAAGUGCAAAGUAUGUCUUUAAAGCCCUAAGGAGGAUAAACAAACAGACCUCGCUGCCUCUUCUUCUCAUCAUUUGCACUCAGCUGCCUGAGGCGGAAAAGAAAAGGGACAGAGAGCCCAGUUGGGCUCCUCUGCCAGAUGACCCAAACCCAACAAAAAGGAAGUACACUGACUUUUCUUCUUAUCCUUUGUAUUGCUCAGAAGAGACACAAUAAUGAGUAACAGGCAGAAAGCCCACUCUGCUAUGCUGAAAGGUAGUGAAUUACAGUGCUGAUGAAUAGAAGAUAAACAAUGCACCAUCCCCAUUAAUUAUAGCAAAAUAUCUAAGUGCUAAACUAACUCAUUGCAGGUGAUACUUUACAUCCACGCUUUGACUUUACACAUUGGCUUCAUACACUUUUUUUUUACAGUAAGCUAAAACCCUCCGAGAUUCAAGCUGCAAGAAUAAUUGAUGAUACUUUUGUCAUCUCUCCCUGUGUUUUUUACAAGGAACUAGCAGGGAAUGGCCAUGGGAUUUAACAUGUGAUUUAUUGAAUCGUAUAUAUUUGGAUAAACUGCAUAUUACUCAGAAAGGUCCAGUAUAGCACUGGGCCUAUAUGAUGAAUGCUGGGGAUAUGGUGAUCCCAAGAAAGUUGAAGUAAUGAGCUUCCCAAGUAGUUUGAGUUCACCAUUUGCUAGAAAAAGAAGACAUAGCUAGCAGAGUUAUUGCAAGAAAGAUUGUUUUUCAUUAUUCUGGCUACACAUGUAAUUCCCCCACUGGUGGAUGUGUAUAUUAAUAAGUUUGAGCUUCAGUGCCUUGGUGCUUCGAGUAUAAAGGAUAUAACAUUUUUCUUGGAGGACUCUUUGUUGUGUGCUCUACCUGUAUGGCCACCAAGAUCUCUUUGAUGGCAGGGAUAGUACAGCCAAUUGGUCUCCUUGUUUUGGAAUUCCAAAUAGAUUUUGAUUGUCAAAUUGGCUAUUAUUGUGACAGCAGAAUGGUUGACUUUCCAAAUAAACCUGAAGUAUGAC